AUUGAACGCUGGCGGCAGGCCUAACACAUGCAAGUCGAGCGGAUGAAGGGAGCUUGCUCCUGGAUUCAGCGGCGGACGGGUGAGUAAUGCCUAGGAAUCUGCCUGGUAGUGGGGGAUAACGUCCGGAAACGGGCGCUAAUACCGCAUACGUCCUGAGGGAGAAAGUGGGGGAUCUUCGGACCUCACGCUAUCAGAUGAGCCUAGGUCGGAUUAGCUAGUUGGUGGGGUAAAGGCCUACCAAGGCGACGAUCCGUAACUGGUCUGAGAGGAUGAUCAGUCACACUGGAACUGAGACACGGUCCAGACUCCUACGGGAGGCAGCAGUGGGGAAUAUUGGACAAUGGGCGAAAGCCUGAUCCAGCCAUGCCGUGUGUGUGAAGAAGGUCUUCGGAUUGUAAAGCACUUUAAGUUGGGAGGAAGGGCAGUAAGUUAAGACCUUGCUGUUUUGACGUUACCAACAGAAUAAGCACCGGCUAACUUCGU
rnacentral:rRNA from 1 species